rnacentral:rRNA from 1 species
GUAGGUGGCGAGCGUUGUCCGGAUUUAUUGGGUUUAAAGGGUGCGUAGGCGGCCCUGUAAGUCAGCGGUGAAAUACGGCAGCUCAACUGUCGAGGUGCCGUUGAUACUGCGGGGCUUGAGUGCUGAUGAGGCAGGCGGAAUUGACGGUGUAGCGGUGAAAUGCUUAGAUAUCGUCAAGAACACCGAUAGCGAAGGCAGCCUGCCAAGGAGCAACUGACGCUGAGGCACGAAAGUGCGGGGAUCAAACAGGAUUAGAUACCCUGGUAGUCCGCACAGUAAACGAUGGUCACUCGAUGUCGGCGAUACACUGCCGGCGUCUUAGCGAAAGCGAUAAGUGACCCACCUGGGGAGUACGCCCGCAAGGGUG